GCGUUGAUAGUGUAGCGGUUAUCAUUUUAGCCUUCCAUAGUUUACAUGUAUAGAUACAUGCUUGGUAGAGCUGAAGACCGGGGUUCGACUCCCCGUCAACGCA